AUAGAAUGCCAAACAAAGUUUAGUACAAUGAAAAGUUAAAGAAAAUUAGGAGACUACAGGGAGGACAAACUAUCCUGCUAAGCGUAAAACAUCUUGGUAUGCUCGGCGAUGAACCGGACACAAAAACAACUUCGAUGUACCUCGGUCGAACAGACGCUGUGCGAAAAGGCUGGUUGCUUGAAUGCUGGGCUCUUGAUGCCGGACGGGACGGCCGUAUCGGCGGCUGUUGACAUCGACAAUUCUUCCGACUCCGAAUGGGGCAGCUGGAUCGGCCCAUGUAUUUGGCAGCUUCCACCAAACGGUCCCGUACCUGACAAAC